CCUUCGGUCUCCGAAACGCGCCCGCAACAUUUCAGCGGUUAAUGUCCACAGUCUUAGGGGGGGUCCCUAACUGUACUGUUUAUUUAGACGAUGUUGUCGUUUACUCGUCUACGUGGGAUGAACACAUGUUAACGUUGCAUAACGUGUUUGGCCGAUUGUCCGCUGCUUCCUUAACGUUGAAUCUCAAGAAAUGUGAAUUUGUAAAAGCUUCUGUAACGUAUCUAGGGAAGCAGGUGGGAAAUGGUCAAGUGCGACCACGGGACGGAAAGGUGGCUGCUGUGCUCAAUUACCCAACACCUACUACGAGGAGAGAACUACUGCACCGGUGCUGUCCGCCCCCGACCUGACUCGUCCGUUCCAGCUGGAGGUGGACGCCAGCGCGGUUGGAGUGGGAGCUGUCCUUCUGCAGGAGGGUGCUGACAACCUAGGCCACCCUGUAUCAUACUUCUCAGCUAAGUUCAACAGUCAUCAGUUGAAUUAUUCAACCAUUGAAAAAGAGACCUUAGCUCUGUUGCUAGCGUUACAACAGUUUAACGUCUACGUGGGGGCUAGUGCGUCUCCUGUCGUUGUUUAUACAGAUCAUAAUCCACUUGUUUUUCUGAGCAAAAUGUAUAACCAAAAUCAACGACUCAUGCGUUGGGCCUUAAUGGUUCAGCCGUACAAUCUUGAGAUCCGUCAUAAAAGAGGCUCUGACAACGUAGUUGCAGAUGCAUUGUCUCGCGGAUUAAUUUAGGAACAGGUUUUUCUGUAUGAAUCCAUGCAGAAUCAGUUUUUCUUUUUCCCUCUAAGGAAGGAGGAAAAGAGGAAGGAAAAAAAAUGAUUCUUCCUCUAGGGGGGGAAGUGUUACGGCCACAGCCUUCUGAGUUUGUUACUUUUGUAAUUAUUAAUUGGUUUGGCCUUUCUGAGUGCAGGCUCUGCCCCUGCGCACCUGAGAGCGGUUGCGGUGAUGGCUCAGGCUGAGCAUAUAGAGGGGAGAGCGACUGAGCGCCGGGGAAAAGGAGGAGACCUGCGAGAGCGCCAGGCCCGGCUGCAACACCAGGAGACCAGUGUUUUGUGUUCGAGCGACUAUUGUGUUAUGUUAAGGUGUAAAACGGAGAGGCUGGAGGUUGGAAAACUAUAAAAGAUCUUUGCAUCG